UAAAAAAGCUAUAAAGGGCUAAUGGUGGAUGCCUUGAUUGAAAGAGGCGAUGAAGGACGUACUAGACUGCGAUAAGUCUUGGGGAGCUGUCAAGAGGCUUUGAUCCAGGAAUUUCCGAAUGGGGCAACCCAAUAUAUAGAGAUAUAUAUUACUCUAAUUUAGAGAGCGAACUUGGGGAAGUGAAACAUCUCAGUACCCAAAGGAAGAGAAAUCAAACGAGAUUCCCAAAGUAGCGGCGAGCGAAAUGGGAUUAGGGCGGCUAUAUUUAGCAUAAAUGUUAGUAGAAUUACCUGGAAAGGUAGAGCAUAGAAGGUGAUACUCCUGUAUAUUAAAACAUUUUUGUGGAACUAGGAUAGCGAACGAGUAGGUCGGGACACGAGAAAUCUUGACUGAAUAUGGGGGGACCACCCUCCAACCCUAAAUACUACUUUCAAAUCGAUAGUGCACAAGUACCGUGAGGGAAAGGUGAAAAGUACCCCAGUGAGGGGAGUGAAAUAGAACCUGAAACCAUUAGCCUACAAUCAUUCAGAGCCCUAUGGAGUAAUCCAGGGUGAUGGACUGCCUUUUGCAUAAUGAGCCUGCGAGUUGUGAUCAGUGGCAAGGUUAAGUCAAGUACGAAGCCGUAGCGAAAGCGAGUCUUAAUAGGGCGAAUUAGUCACUGGUUGCAGACCCGAAACUGAGUGAUCUAUCCAUGAGCAGGUUGAAGCUGGUGUAAAAGCUAGUGGAGGACCGAACCCGUAACCAUUGAAACGGUUUGGGAUGACUUGUGGAUAGGGGUGAAAGGCCAAUCAAACUCAGUGAUAGCUGGUUCUCUCCGAAAUAUAUUUAGGUAUAGCGUUGUGUUGUAGCAUAUAGGGGUAGAGCACUGAUUGGGCUAGGGCUGCUUACCGCGGUACCAAACCCUGUCAAACUCCGAAUACUAUAUGUGUAAUCACGGCAGUCAGGCGGUGGGUGAUAAAAUCAAUCGUCAAGAGGGGAACAACCCAGACUACCAGCUAAGGUCCCAAAGUCAUAUCUAAGUGGAAAACGAUGUGGAGUUACUGUGACAACCAGGAGGUUGGCUUAGAAGCAGCCAUCCUUUAAAGAAAGCGUAACAGCUCACUGGUCUAGUGAUUCUGCGCGGAAAAUAUAACGGGGCUAAGAUAUGCACCGAAGCUGUAGAUUUCAUAUUUAUAUGGAGUGGUAGGAGAGCGUUCUGUUCAGCGUUGAAGCCAUACCGGUGAGGAGUGGUGGAGCGUACAGAAGUGAGCAUGCAGGCAUGAGUAACGAUAAAAGUAGUGAGAAUCUACUUCGCCGUAAACCCAAGGUUUCCUACGCGAUGGUCGUCAUCGUAGGGUUAGUCGGGUCCUAAGCUGAGUCCGAAAGGGGUAGGCGAUGGCAAAUCGGUUAAUAUUCCGAUACUAACAAAUGAGCGCGAUGGGAGGACGCAUAGGGCUACGGGAGCUAACUGAUGGAAUAGUUAGUCGAAGGAUGUAGGUUGUAACGCAGGCAAAUCCGUGUUACGCUAGACCGAGAUCUGACAGGCCGAAUAAGACCUUCGGGUUGCAUUCGGAAUCCCCGAUGCCGUCGUGCCAAGAAAAGUCUCUAAGUUUAUCAUUUGUUACCCGUACCGUAAACCGACACAGGUGGGUGAGAUGAGUAUUCUAAGGCGCGUGGAAGAACCCCCUUUAAGGAACUCUGCAAACUAGCACCGUAUCUUCGGUAUAAGGUGUGCCUACUCAAGUUAGAAGACUUGCUCUUCAAAGCUAGAGAGGUUGCAACAAAGAGUCCCUCCCGACUGUUUACCAAAAACACAGCACUUUGCUAACUCGUAAGAGGAUGUAUAAGGUGUGACGCCUGCCCGGUGCUGGAAGGUUAAUUGAUGGUGUCAGAGCAAUCGAAGCACUUGAUCGAAGCCCCAGUAAACGGCGGCCGUAACUAUAACGGUCCUAAGGUAGCGAAAUUCCUUGUCGGUUAAAUACCGACCUGCAUGAAUGGCGUAACGAGAUGGGAGCUGUCUCAAAGGGGGAUCCAGUGAAAUUGUAGUGGAGGUGAAAAUUCCUCCUACCCGCGGAAAGACGGAAAGACCCCGUGCACCUUUACUAUAGCUUGACACUGUAGUUUGAAUAUUCAUGUGCAGGAUAGGUGGGAGGCUGUGAUGCUUAGACGCAAGUAGAAGCGGAGCCAUCCUUGAGAUACCACCCUUGAAUAUUUGGAUUACUAACUCGCAUCAGUUACCCUGAUGGAGGACAAUGUCUGGUGGGUAGUUUGACUGGGGCGGUCGCCUCCUAAAAAGUAACGGAGGCUUACAAAGGUUGGCUCAGAUGGGUUGGAAAUCCAUCGUUGAGUGUAAUGGCAUAAGCCAGCCUGACUGUGAGACAGACAAGUCGAACAGAGUCGAAAGACGGUCAUAGUGAUCCGGUGGUUCUGUGUGGAAGGGCCAUCGCUCAAAGGAUAAAAGGUACGCCGGGGAUAACAGGCUGAUCUCCCCCAAGAGCUCACAUCGACGGGGAGGUUUGGCACCUCGAUGUCGGCUCAUCGCAUCCUGGGGCUGGAGCAGGUCCCAAGGGUAUGGCUGUUCGCCAUUUAAAGCGGUACGCGAGCUGGGUUCAGAACGUCGUGAGACAGUUCGGUCCCUAUCUUCCGUGGGCGUAGGAAAGUUGAAGAGAUUUGUCCCUAGUACGAGAGGACCGGGAUGAACAUGCCACUGGUGUACCAGUUGUUCUGCCAAGAGCAUCGCUGGGUAGCUACGCAUGGAUGUGAUAAGAGCUGAAAGCAUCUAAGCUCGAAGCCAACUCUAAGAUGAACUUUCCCUGAAGAUCCCAGUAAGACUAACUGGUUGAUAGGCUAGAUGUGUAAUGGAUGAGAGUCCUUUAGCUGACUAGUACUAAUAGAUCGUUUGGCUUUUUUUA
rnacentral:rRNA from 1 species